rnacentral:tRNA from 1 species
UGGUUCAAUAGAUGAGGCGCGGCAUGAUAUCGUUUGCGCCGAUAUAACGCCUCCGAUUGAGGCGCUAGCGGGGGCGAUUCCCGUUGUACUAC